UACGAAGGGGGCUAGCGUUGCUCGGAAUUACUGGGCGUAAAGAGCUCGUAGGCGGUUCCGUAAGUCGUGAAGUCAAAUCUCUGGGCUCAACCCAGAAUCGCUUCCGAUACUGCGGUGACUGGAGUCCGGUAGGGGAGUGUGGAAUUCCUGGUGUAGCGGUGAAAUGCGCAGAUAUCAGGAGGAACACCAACAGCGAAGGCAGCACUCUGGGCCGGUACUGACGCUGAGGAGCGAAAGCAUGGGGAGCGAACAGG
rnacentral:rRNA from 1 species